rnacentral:rRNA from 1 species
UACGGAGGGGGCUAGCGUUGUUCGGAAUUACUGGGCGUAAAGCGCACGUAGGCGGCUUUGUAAGUUAGAGGUGAAAGCCCGGGGCUCAACCCCGGAAUAGCCUUUAAGACUGCAUCGCUUGAACACGGGAGAGGUGAGUGGAAUUCCUAGUGUAGAGGUGAAAUUCGUAGAUAUUAGGAAGAACACCAGUGGCGAAGGCGGCUCACUGGCCCGGUACUGACGCUGAGGCGCGAAAGCGUGGGGAGCAAACAGG